rnacentral:rRNA from 1 species
GACGAACGCUGGCGGCGCGCCUAACACAUGCAAGUCGAACGGAAAGAUCCUGUUUUUGUGGGGCGCUCGAGUGGCUAACGGGUGAGUAACACGGGAGUACCCAGCCCAUAACUUAGGGCCAACUUCAGGAAAUAGAGUAUAAUAAAGACAAGGAGCUGCUGCUGCAUGGUGGGGAUUGGAACGUUUUGGCGGUUGGGUAUGUACUCGCUUCUUAUCCUCUUCUUGGUGGGGUAGUGGCAUACCAAGGCGAUGACGGCUAGCCGACCUGAGAAGGUGACCGGCCACAUUGGGACUGGGAUACGGCCCAGACUCCUACGGGAAGCAGCGGUGGGGAAUAGUGAACAAUGGGCGGAAGGGUAAUGCAGAAAAGCAGCGUGCGGGAUGACGGCCUUCGGGUUGUAAACGGAAUCCGCCUUUGACGGAGAGUGAGUGACGGUAAUGGGUAAAGAAGCACCGGCUAACUACGUG